UAAAUUUCUGCUGUAUAAGAUCCUC
rnacentral:piRNA from 1 species